AUGCCACGGAGAUUUCACAAGACCUGGAAAUGCGGAUGCAAACUCUGGGCACUUAAUAAGUGCUUAAGAAUGGCAACUCGGCCGGCGCCACGGCUCACUAGGCUAAUCCUCCGCCUUGUGGCGCCGGCACACCGGGUUCUAGUCCCGGUAGGGGCCCUGGAUUCUGUCCCCGUUGCCCCUCUUCCAGGCCAGCUCUCUGCUGUGGCCAGGGAGUGCAGUGGAGGAUGGCCCAGGUGCUUGGGCCCUGCACCCCAUGGGAGACCAGGAGAAGCACCUGGCUCCUGCCAUCGGAUCAGCGCGGUGCGCCGGCUGCAGUGCGCCAGCCGUGGCGGCCAUUGGAGGGUGAACCAACGGCAAAAGGAAGACCUUUCUCUCUGUCUCUCUCUCUCACUGUCCACUCUGCCUGUCAAAAAAAAAAAAAAAAAAAAAAAAAAAAGAAUGGCAACUCUUAAACUCUUAACCUCCUCUCUGAAUGGCGCCCAGGAACUCACCCAGCCGUGUCUGGGGCAGGAGGGGAGGGUCUCUCCUCUUUGGCCCCCAGGCUGCCCCAGUCACAACACCCACCACCCCAUGCUGGGCCACCCACUCCAGAUGCCCCCACAGGCCUGGGGCAGAUCCAAGGGCAACCCCAACAGUGCCAGGCACCCAAGGAUACUCAGGAUUGUGAGGGUGAGGCAGCGGGGAAUUCUGGACACCAAGCCCCCCCCCCCAUGGAUGAGAAGGUUCUGUAGGCAGCCCAAGAGUGGGUCAGCAAGGAAGGGUGUGGACCGGGGCUGCCCACCCAGAGUGCCCCCCAUCAGGAGGCUGGAGCCCCAGGAAACAUUGGAACCCCAAGUUACUGCUGUGGUCCGAGUGGGCUCCAGGGCAGGGGUGAGGCGAGCCGGGACUGUUUCCAGAACUGAGUGGGAGGGGAGGGCUGGCACUGGGAGUCCCUUCCUUGCCCCUGUACACAGCUCCUCGGCCUUAGAGCAGGAGCCCCGGAGCGGCUCUGGGGAAGCCGGGCUCCUCAGUCUCGGUUUCGUCUUGAGAUUCGUCAUCCCUGAGCUGCUCCCUGCUUGUCUUAGGGGGAUGGCAUUUCUGCCGAUUUUUGACGUUUUGCUGAGAAAGAGCGCGUCUGUCCAGAUUCCUGAGUUUUCUCAAGGGAGCCUGUCAAUCCACUGA
rnacentral:lncRNA from 1 species